AUUGAACGCUGGCGGCAUGCUUUACACAUGCAAGUCGAACGGUAACAGGUUAAGCUGACGAGUGGCGAACGGGUGAGUAAUGCAUCGGAACGUGCCCGGUCGUGGGGGAUAACGCAGCGAAAGCUGCGCUAAUACCGCAUACGAUCUGAGGAUGAAAGCGGGGGACCGUAAGGCCUCGCGCGAUCGGAGCGGCCGAUGUCAGAUUAGGUAGUUGGUGGGGUAAAGGCUCACCAAGCCGACGAUCUGUAGCUGGUCUGAGAGGACGACCAGCCACACUGGGACUGAGACACGGCCCAGACUCCUACGGGAGGCAGCAGUGGGGAAUUUUGGACAAUGGGCGCAAGCCUGAUCCAGCAAUGCCGCGUGCAGGAAGAAGGCCUUCGGGUUGUAAACUGCUUUUGUACGGAGCGAAAAAGCUCUCUCUAAUACAGGGGGCUCAUGACGGUACCGUAAGAAUAAGCACCGGCUAACUACGUUCCAGCCGCCGCAGUAA
rnacentral:rRNA from 1 species